GCACUAGCAAAAUCUAGUGUCAGGAUUGAGACCCUGAAUCAGUUAACGGCGACACAUGGCGCGCUUAGCGUCUUUUUU
rnacentral:sRNA from 1 species